UACCUAAACAAAUUUAAAAAGUUAAGCUUUUAAAUAACUAUUAAAGAUAUUAUCCCCUUGUAGUGUAGUUUAAUAGCUAUCUACAUAAUAACUUAAUAUAAAGUAUAAUAGUUUAUAUUUUAUAAUAUGACGUUAACAAUUUUGUUUAAUAUUUGAAAAUGUUAGUAUUAGUAAUAUUAGUAUAUGUGCUAAAGGAACUCGGCAAAAAACCACUCAACUGUUUAUCAAAAACAUAGCUAUAUGAAUUAAUAUAUAGUUAUUUCUGCUCAAUGAUUUAAAUAGCCGCAGUACUCUGACUGUGCAAAGGUAGCAUAAUCAGUUGGCUUUUAAUUAGAGUCUGGUAUGAACGAAAAUAUGGGUAGUAACUGUCUUAGCACAUUUUUUCGAACUUAUUAAACAAGUGCAAAUGCUUGUAAUUUAACAAUAGACGAGAAGACCCUAGAAACUUGGACAAGUUUUUGUUGGGGCGACAGAAUUACACUUAACUAAUCUUAUAAUACACGACGCGAUGUUGAAAGAAUAAGUUACUCUAGGGAUAACAGCAUAAUUUCAUUAGUUUGUGACCUCGAUGUUGGACUAGGUACUAUACCCUUAAGGCAAGGAUAUAUUAUGCUCUGUUCGAGCAAAAUUACCUACAUGAUCUGAGU
rnacentral:rRNA from 1 species